AACGAACGCUGGCGGUAUGCCUAACACAUGCAAGUCGAACGAGACCAGCGGGUCAGCUGGCGCAAGGGUGCGUCAAGUGUGGGACCGUGCCCUUAGAUAGGGGACAACUCUCCGACAGGGGUGCUAACAUCGGAUAACGUCUUCUGAUCAAACAUAUACCGCCCUUGGAUGGGCCUGAGUUGGAUUGGCUAGUCGGUAGGGUAUAAGCCUACCAGGGCGACGAUCCAUAGCUGGUUUGAGAGGAUGAUCAGCCACUCUGGGGGUGUGAAACGGCCCAGACUACUACGCGAGGCAGCAGUGGGGAAGAAUGGAAAAUGGCCGGGAGCCUGAUCGAGUGAUGGCGCGAAAGUGAUGAUGGUGUGAGGGUUGUGCAGCUCUUUUACCCGCGCCGAUAAUGACAGUACCGGGAGAAUAAGCACCGGCUAACUGCGUG
rnacentral:rRNA from 1 species